rnacentral:rRNA from 1 species
UGGGGAAUAUUGCACAAUGGGGGAAACCCUGAUGCAGCGACGCCGCGUGAGCGAAGAAGUAUUUCGGUAUGUAAAGCUCUAUCAGCAGGGAAGAAAAUGACUGUACCUGACUAAGAAGCUCCGGCUAAAUACGUGCC